UUAAUAAGUUCUUUGGGUUCGGGUUUAGCUGGGGUAGUUGUUUUAAAGGAACUAAGAUGUUGUAUUAACACUUAUAUGUGGAGAUUGGUCUUGUUUAUACGGAAAGUCAGGUUAACUUACUUUAGGGAUAACAGCGCAGUAUUUUUGGGGAGAUCAUAUUUAUAGAGAAGUUUGCGACCUCGAUGUUGAAUUAAAAGUUUUCUGUGGGGUAGAAUAUACAGGGAGAGGGUUUGUUCAACCCUUAAAUUUUUACAUGAUCUGAGUUCAAACCG
rnacentral:rRNA from 1 species